rnacentral:rRNA from 1 species
GACGAACGCUGGCGGCGUGCUUAACACAUGCAAGUCGAACGAAGAGCGAUGGAAGCUUGCUUCUAUCAAUCUUAGUGGCGAACGGGUGAGUAACGCGUAAUCAACCUGCCCUUCAGAGGGGGACAACAGUUGGAAACGACUGCUAAUACCGCAUACGAUCUAAUCUCGGCAUCGAGGAUAGAUGAAAGGUGGCCUCUACAUGUAAGCUAUCACUGAAGGAGGGGAUUGCGUCUGAUUAGCUAGUUGGAGGGGUAACGGCCCACCAAGGCGAUGAUCAGUAGCCGGUCUGAGAGGAUGAACGGCCACAUUGGGACUGAGACACGGCCCAGACUCCUACGGGAGGCAGCAGUGGGGAAUCUUCCGCAAUGGACGAAAGUCGGACGGAGCAACGCCGCGUGAGUGAUGACGGCCUUCGGGUUGUAAAGCUCUGUUAAUCGGGACGAAAGGCCUUCUUGCGAAUAGUGAGAAGGAUUGACGGUACCGGAAGAGAAAGCCACGGCUAACUACGUG